rnacentral:lncRNA from 1 species
CAGUAAUACCAACAUUUUAUUUUAAACGACUAUCUUUAUGUCAUACAAUUGUCCACAAUUUUGGAGUUUUACUGACAGCUCUUGCUUCCUGCUUCCAUCUCUCUGAAAAUAUUUUUUGAUGAGUCUUUCCAUCUUUGGUCAGUGGAAAGAUUUAAACAUCCUUUGCUGAUGCAAAGGUCAUAGGACCCUCAUUUUAUGAGUGCUUGGGAAUUAAUUGUCAAUAAAUAAAGCUCCUGUUAGUCAGUAACCAGAGAGAACAGUAGCAAACUAUUCCCCAUUAGUAAAGGACAACAUUAUUAACAUUAGCUGUUUAGUUAAAGAGAACUGACUGGUGAAGUCCUCCUCCACAUUAAACAUGGUGAAGAACUCAACUGUGGCUGUGAUCUGGCUAAUAAACUCCAUGUCCAUUUCAGCAUGUGAUGUAGGAUAGUUGUGUUACUGACCCUCAAAAUUACUGUGAUUUUUACUUUUUUCCAGCACAACAGAAAUAUGUUACCUCAGCAGGAAAACCCGCCACAUCCUGACUGCUGUGCAGAGGCAUACCUCGGAGGAAUAGGAAUUCAGCAGCUUACAAAAAUGACAAAUUGUCUGAGAUUUAGUCCCAUCUCAAAGUAUUCUCUUUGGGAUUCCUGAAGGGGAAGAUAAAAAAAAAACAAUAAAGAAAACUUAGUAUAGAAGCAGAUGGUGUUUCUGUGAAAUUUUAAAAGUAAAGAAAGAUCAUUUCAAAAAUAAAAAACAGAAACAGGUCAUAUUAACUUUCGAGAAUCACCUUGGCCUGGUGGUGGGAAUCCACACACUUGCAGUUUCUGGGGUUGGGGGAGGAUUAAGCCUGGGCGUCAUGACCCCCUGGACUCCUCUUCAGAAGGACAUCAAAAGGUGCCUCUCGGAUUCCACCCUAUCAUUGCUUCCAGGAGAAAAUAUGUCAUCCUUGGUUCGUCUCCAGAAUCAAUAGUAUCUUAAAAUGUGACUCUGGGAGUACCCUGUGGCACAGCAGGUUAAGAUCUAGUGUUGUUGCUUCAGUGGCUUGGGUUACUGCUGUGGUGUAGGUUCAGUCCCUGGCCUGGGAACGUGUGCCUGUGGUGGGUGCUGCCAAAAAGAGGUGUGACUCUAUUUUCUUAUUACUCUGAUCUUACUGUGCUAUGUCUAAAACGAAACAUGAAACACAGAAACAUGGAACGAGGAUUAGAGAGAAAAAGCCAAGAUCUUUUGUCAUGGUGAAGUGUGUUAGUGACAAAGAAAUCAAAAGAGAAGUAUCAGUAUUUUCUCCAAGUCAUACAUGAUCCAGGUGCUUGCAUUUACCUGCUAACAAAAUAACAGUAGAAAGAACAGCACUAGACCCAGAAUUACAACUGAGGAUAGACCAUUGGUUCAUAAUUAGGAAAUGAAUAGACUAUAGCAUGGCCCAGUCAUCUAUUUCAAACUCCUAAAAUAUUACUAUAUAAACAUAUGCUCAAUUCAGCUAUAAUUAUUACCAUUUUCACAAUAACUAAAAUCAUCAUUGCAUUGGCCAAAUGCAUGCAAAUGUAGAUGAGACCUCAGUAUUACCUUUGAUGAGCUCUUUUUUACCUUUCGUACAGUUGGAAUUUUCAUUGACUUUUGUAGUGAUAAUUUUACAUUUUUAUCUGAAGGUAAUUGUCUUAAAUGGCAAAGACAAUUGCAUUAGGUAAACUUCACAGUUAAAAGGCAAAGAAGUGUUCGCUAGCCUGUCUGUCUUAAUUACUGAGUUUUAAGCUAAUUCAGUCUUCAGGAAGAUUUAGAGAAAAGAUAACCGUCACUGUAAAUCAUCAAAAGCUUAACAAACAUGGAGUUGUUGUCAUGGCUCAGCGGUGACGAACCAGAAGAGUAUUCAUGAGGAUGUGAGUUCGAUCCCUUGCCCUGCUCAGUGGGUUAGGAAUCUGAUGUUGCCAUGGCUGUGGUGCAGGCCGGCAGCUGUAGCUCUGAUUUGACCCUGAGCCCAAGAACUUCCAUAUACUGCAGGUAUGGCCCUAAAGAAAAGAAUUAACAAACAUAUCUUUAUUUUCUGAUACUCAGAAGUAUCAGAAACUAACAAGCACAUUCAUGGAAAAUGGAUUAUUGUUACGUCAGAUAUAUUGUUAGAGAUACAGAGCAGAGGUUAUUUAUACCAUGUUUCCCUUCUAUUUUUAGCAUUUUAAUAUUAGUUUUAUUUUAUUCAACUCAGCAUUUAGCUGGGCAGUUUACAGUUACUGAUUGAUUGAAUACCUGUUCUGACACUAGAAAUAUAAUUGUCAGCCAGUCACCAAUGCAGCCUUCAUGGACUUUAUGUUCUAGUGGAAGGAGGCACUCAUUCACUGAUCUGAUGCUAAUUGAGCACCUACUGUUUGCUUGGCACUCUUCUAGGUGCUCGGGCUUUAUCAGUGCUCAAUGCAGAAGAAGAUGCAUGACUCUGAAGAGCUUACAUUCAAGAAAGGUGAUAUUAAAAGAUACAUAAGGAACAAAUAAACUAUACAAUAUUACCUUUGAUGAGGUCUUUUAUACUUCAUUGAUUUAAGUACUGUGUGGGAAAAUGUUGAGCAGAGAUGAAUUGAGUUUGGGACACCCUGAAUUUAAGGUGCUUAAAACCUAGAAGGGAUUCCUAGUAGAUAAUUAGAUUUAUUGAUCAAAUGAGCAAUAGAACUUUUUCCAUUAGGAAAUUUCACUUAAAAAAAAGGAGUUCCCUGGUGGCCUAGCAGUAAAGGAUCUGGUAUUGUCACUGCUCUGGCUCAGGUUACUGCUGUGGCACAGGUUCAAUCCCUGGCUCAGGAAUUCUGCAUGCCACAGGCACAGCCAAAAAA